GUGGGGAAUCUUCCGCAAUGGACGAAAGUCUGACGGAGCAACGCCGCGUGAACGAUGACGGCCUUCGGGUUGUAAAGUUCUGUUAUACGGGACGAAUGGUACGACGGCCAAUACCCGUCGUAAGUGACGGUACCGUAAGAGAAAGCCACGGCUAACUACGUGCCAGCAGCCGCGGUAAUACGUAGGUGGCAAGCGUUGUCCGGAAUUAUUGGGCGUAAAGGGCGCGCAGGCGGCGUCGUAAGUCGGUCUUAAAAGUGCGGGGCUGAACCCCGUGAGGGGACCGAAACUGCGAUGCUAGAGUAUCGGAGAGGAAAGCGGAAUUCCUAGUGUAGCGGAGAAAUGCGUAGAUAUUAGGAGGAACACCAGUGGCGAAAGCGGCUUUCUGGACGACAACUGACGCUGAGGCGCGAAAGCCAGGGGAGCAAACGGGAUUAGAAACCCGUGUAGUCC
rnacentral:rRNA from 1 species